rnacentral:rRNA from 1 species
AUUGAACGCUGGCGGCAGGCCUAACACAUGCAAGUCGAACGAGUGGCGGACGUGUGAGUAAUGUCUGGGAAACUGCCCGAUGGGGGGGGAUAACUCCUGGAAACGGUAUCUAAUACCGCAUACCAUCGGAUGUGCCCAGAUGGGAGUAGCUAGUAGGUGGGGUAACGGCUCACCUAGGCGACGAUCCCUAGCUGGUCUGAGAGGAUGACCAGCCACAAUGGAACGGAGACACGGUCCAGACUCCUACGGGAGGCAGCAGUGGGGAAUAUUGCACAAUGGGCGCAAGCCUGAUGCAGCAAUGCCGCGUGUAUGAAGAAGGCCUUCGGGUUGUAAAGUACUUUCAGCGAGGAGGCGUUACUCGCAGAAGAAGCACCGGCUAACUCCGUGCCAGCAGCCGCGGUAAUAC